rnacentral:rRNA from 1 species
AACGAACGCUGGCGGCAGGUCUUAGGCAUGCAAGUCGAACGGGUGAAACAGGUGCUUGCACUUGUGGAUCUAGUGGCGCACGAGUGAGUAACGCGUGGGAAACUACCCACUACUGGGGAAUAACGUUUGGAAACGAACGCUAAUACCGCAUACGCCGGAAACGGGAAAGCUUUAUGUGCUGAAAGAUGGUCUCGCGUCUGAUUAGCUAGAUGGCGGGGUAACGGCCCACCAUGGCGACGAUCAGUAGCCGGUCUGAGAGGAUGAACGGCCACAUUGGGACUGAGAUACGGCCCAGACUCCUACGGGAGGCAGCAGUGGGGAAUAUUGGGCAAUGGGGGAAACCCUGACCCAGCAACGCCGCGUGAAGGAAGAAGGCCUUCGGGUUGUAAACUUCUUUUACCAGGGACGAAGAACGUGACGGUACCUGGAGAAAAAGCAACGGCUAACUACGUG